AGAGUUUGAUCCUGGCUCAGAACGAACGCUGGCGGCGCGUCUUAAGCAUGCAAGUCGAACGGCAAGAAGAGGUUUACUUCUUCCUAGAGUGGCGGACUGGUGAGUAACACGUGGACGACGUACCCUCCUGACGGGGACAGCCGGUAGAAAUACCGGAUAAUACCGGAUAAUCUCUUUUGGGGUAAAGAUGAAAGAGUAAAGCGGCUCCGGCCGCGCAGGAGGAACGGUCCGCGGCCUAUCAGCUAGUCGGCAGGGUAAAGGCCUGCCGAGGCGACGACGGGUAUCCGGCCUGAGAGGGUGAACGGACACAUUGGGACUGAGAUACGGCCCAGACUCCUACGGGAGGCAGCAGCUAAGAAUAUUCCGCAAUGGGGGGAACCCUGACGGAGCGACGCCGCGUGGACGAUGAAGGCUGGAAGGUUGUAAAGUCCUUUUGUCCGCGAGGAAUAAUAUUGGGAGGAAAUGCCUGAUAGGUGACGGUAGCGGAUGAAUAAGCACCGGCUAAUUACGUGCCAGCAGCCGCGGUAACACGUAAGGUGCGAGCGUUGUUCGGAAUUAUUGGGCGUAAAGGGCAUGCAGGCGGCCGUGCAAGCCCGGCGUGAAAUGGCGGGGCCCAACCCCGUCACUGCGCUGGGAACUGUGUGGCUAGGGUCGCCGAGGGGCAGCCGGAAUUCCAGGUGUAGGGGUGAAAUCUGUAGAUAUCUGGAAGAACACCGAUGGCGAAGGCAGGCUGCCAGCGGAUGACCGACGCUGAGGUGCGAAGGCGCGGGGAGCGAACAGGAUUAGAUACCCUGGUAGUCCGCGCAGUCAACGAUGUGCACUGGGCGUCCGCGCGAGCGCGUGGGUGCCGCAGCAAACGCGAUAAGUGCACCGCCUGGGGAGUAUGCCCGCAA
rnacentral:rRNA from 1 species